UACGGAGGGAGCUAGCGUUGUUCGGAAAUACUGGGCGUAAAGCGCACGUAGGCGGCGCAGCGAGUCAGGGGUGAAAUCCCGGGGCUCAACCCCGGAACUGCCUCUGAAACUGCAGUGCUAGAAUCUUGGAGAGGCGAGUGGAAUUCCGAGUGUAGAGGUGAAAUUCGUAGAUAUUCGGAAGAACACCAGUGGCGAAGGCGGCUCACUGGACUGGUAUUGACGCUGAGGUGCGAAAGCGUGGGGAGCAAACAGG
rnacentral:rRNA from 1 species